rnacentral:rRNA from 1 species
AAAUUGAAGAGUUUGAUCAUGGCUCAGAUUGAACGCUGGCGGCAGGCCUAACACAUGCAAGUCGAACGGUAGCACAGAGAGCUUGCUCUCGGGUGACGAGUGGCGGACGGGUGAGUAAUGUCUGGGAAACUGCCCGAUGGAGGGGGAUAACUACUGGAAACGGUAGCUAAUACCGCAUAACGUCGCAAGACCAAAGUGGGGGACCUUCGGGCCUCACACCAUCGGAUGUGCCCAGAUGGGAUUAGCUAGUAGGUGGGGUAACGGCUCACCUAGGCGACGAUCCCUAGCUGGUCUGAGAGGAUGACCAGCCACACUGGAACUGAGACACGGUCCAGACUCCUACGGGAGGCAGCAGUGGGGAAUAUUGCACAAUGGGCGCAAGCCUGAUGCAGCCAUGCCGCGUGUAUGAAGAAGGCCUUCGGGUUGUAAAGUACUUUCAGCGAGGAGGAAGGCGUUGUGGUUAAUAACCACAGCGAUUGACGUUACUCGCAGAAGAAGCACCGGCUAACUCCGUGCCAGCAGCCGCGGUAAUACGGAGGGUGCAAGCGUUAAUCGGAAUUACUGGGCGUAAAGCGCACGCAGGCGGUUUGUUAAGUCAGAUGUGAAAUCCCCGGGCUCAACCUGGGAACUGCAUUUGAAA